AUUGAACGCUGGCGGCAGGCCUAACACAUGCAAGUCGAGCGAGCGGCGGACGGGUGAGUAAUGUCUGGGACACUGCCUGCUGGAUGGGGAUAACUACUGGAAACGGUAGCUAAUACCGCAUACCAUCAGAUGUGCCCAGAUGGGAUUAGCUUGUAGGUGGGGUAACGGCUCACCUAGGCGACGAUCCCUAGCUGGUCUGAGAGGAUGACCAGCCACACUGGAACUGAGACACGGUCCAGACUCCUACGGGAGGCAGCAGUGGGGAAUAUUGCACAAUGGGCGCAAGCCGGAUACAGCCAUGCCGCGUGUAUGAAGAAGGCCUUCGGGUUGUAAAGUACGUUCAGCGGGGAGGCGUUACCCGCAGAAGAAGCACCGGCUAACUCCGUGCCAGCAGCCGCGGUAAUAC
rnacentral:rRNA from 1 species